AGAGGGCGGAGGAAGAAGAGAGGGAAGGAGAGGGAGAAGGAAGAAGAGAGGAAAGGAGGGAGAGAGGGACGGUAAACUGGAGUACUGUCUCCUGUUGAAUCACAAGCACCAGCUACGAGAGGGAGAGAAGAAGAGAGGGAGAGGAAGAUACGGAGAGAAGAAGAGAGAGGAGAGUAAACCAGCAGUGUUGCCUUUUCUGUCCCAUAUGUGUUUUUUCUACUGUUAUUUAUUUAUUAUUUAGUCUCUUUAUAUGUUUCAUCCUUUAUGGAGUGUUGGAGUGGGACCUGUCUCUAUAACAACUGUCUCCUAGCUACCAUAUUGGGACAGAUACCUGUCUCUGUAACAACUGUCUCCUAGCUACCAUAUUGGGACAGGGCCAUUCUCUGUAACAACUGUCUCCUAACUACCAUAUUGGGACAGGCACCUGUCUCUAUAACAACUGUCUCCUAGCUACCAUAUUGGGACAGAUACCUGUCUCUGUAACAACUGUCUCCUAACUACCAUAUUGGGACAGAUACCUGUAUCUGUAACAACUGUCUCCUAACUACCAUAUUGGGACAGAUACCUGUCUCUGUAACAACUGUCUCCUAACUACCAUAUUGGGACAGAUACCUGUCUCUGUAACAACUGUCUCCUAACUACCAUAUUGGGACAGAUACCUGUCUCUGUAACAACUGUCUCCUAACUACCAUAUUGGGACAGAUACCUGUCUCUGUAACAACUGUCUCCUAACUACCAUAUUGGGACAGAUACCUGUCUCUGUAACAACUGUCUCCUAACUACCAUAUUGGGACAGGCACCAUUCUCUGUAACAACUGUCUCCUAACUACCAUAUUGGGACAGAUACCUGUCUCUGUAACAACUGUCUCCUAACUACCAUAUUGGGACAGGCACCAUUCUCUGUAACAACUGUCUCCUAACUACCAUAUUGGGACAGAUACAUGUCUCUGUAACAACUGUCUCCUAACUACCAUAUUGGGACAGAUACCUGUCUCUGUAACAACUGUCUCCUAGGUACCAUAUUGGGACAGGCACCAUUCUCUGUAACAACUGUCUCCUAACUACCAUAUUGGGACAGAUACCUGUCUCUGUAACAACUGUCUCCUAACUACAAUAUUGGGACAGAUACCUGUCUCUGUAACAACUGUCUCCUAACUACCAUAUUGGGACAGAUACCUGUCUCUGUAACAACUGUCUCCUAACUACCAUAUUGGGACAGGCACCAUUCUCUGUAACAACUGUCUCCUAACUACCAUAUUGGGACAGAUACCUGUCUCUGUAACAACUGUCUCCUAACUACCAUAUUGGGACAGAUACCUGUCUCUGUAACAACUGUCUCCUAACUACCAUAUUGGGACAGAUACCUGUCUCUGUAACAACUGUCUCCUAACUACCAUAUUGGGACAGGCACCAUUCUCUGUAACAACUGUCUCCUAUCUACCAUAUUGGGACAGAUACCUGUCUCUGUAACAACUGUCUCCUAAGUACCAUAUUGGGACAGGGCCAUUCUCUGUAACAACUGUCUCCUAACUACCAUAUUGGGACAGGGCGAUUCUCUGUAAUAACUGUCUCCUAACUACCAUAUUGGGACAGAUACCUGUCUCUAACAACUGUCUCCUAUGUACUAGGCUACCAUAUUGGGACAGAUACCUGUCUCUGUAACAACUGUCUCCUAUGUACUAGGCUAGCAUAUUGGGACAGAUACCUGUCUCUGUAACAACUGUCUCCUAUGUACUAGGCUAGCAUAUUGGGACAGAUACCUGUCUCUCUAGCAACUGUCUCCUAUGUACUAGGCUAGCAUAUUGGGACAGAUACCUGUCUCUAACAACUGUCUCCUAUGUACUAGGCUAGCAUAUUGGGACAGAUACCUGUCUCUGUAACAACUGUCUCCUAUGUACUAGGCUAGCAUAUUGGGACAGAUACCUGUCUCUGUAACAACUGUCUCCUAUGUACUAGGCUAGCAUAUUGGGACAGAUACCUGUCUCUCUAACAACUGUCUCCUAUGUACUAGGCUAGCAUAUUGGGACAGAUACCUGUCUCUGUAACAACUGUCUCCUAUGUACUAGGCUAGCAUAUUGGGACAGAUACCUGUCUCUGUAACAACUGUCUCCUAUGUACUAGGCUAGCAUAUUGGGACAGAUACAUGUCUCUCUAACAACUGUCUCCUAUGUACUAGGCUAGCAUAUUGGGACAGAUACCUGUCUCUGUAACAACUGUCUCCUAUGUACUAGGCUAGCAUAUUGGGACAGAUACCUGUCUCUGUAACAACUGUCUCCUAUGUACUAGGCUAGCAUAUUGGGACAGAUACCUGUCUCUGUAACAACUGUCUCCUAUGUACUAGGCUACCAUAUUGGGACAGAUACCUGUCUCUGUAACAACUGUCUCCUAACUACCAUAUUGGGACAGAUACCUGUCUCUCUAACAACUGUCUCCUAUGUACUAGGCUAGCAUAUUGGGACAGAUACCUGUCUCUGUAACAACUGUCUCCUAUGUACUAGGCUAGCAUAUUGGGACAGAUACCUGUCUCUGUAACAACUGUCUCCUAUGUACUAGGCUAGCAUAUUGGGACAGAUACCUGUCUCUGUAACAACUGUCUCCUAUGUACUAGGCUACCAUAUUGGGACAGAUACCUGUCUCUGUAACAACUGUCUCCUAACUACCAUAUUGGGACAGAUACCUGUCUCUGUAACAACUGUCUCCCAUGUACUAGGCUAGCAUAUUGGGACAGAUACCUGUCUCUGUAACAACUGUCUCCUAUGUACUAGGCUAGCAUAUUGGGACAGAUACCUGUCUCUGUAACAACUGUCUCCUAUGUACUAGGCUAGCAUAUUGGGACAGAUACCUGUCUCUGUAACAACUGUCUCCUAUGUACUAGGCUAGCAUAUUGGGACAGAUACCUGUCUCUGUAACAACUGUCUCCUAACUACCAUAUUGGGACAGAUACCUGUCUCUCUAACAACUGUCUCCUAUGUACUAGGCUAGCAUAUUGGGACAGAUACCUGUCUCUCUAACAACUGUCUCCUAUGUACUAGGCUAGCAUAUUGGGACAGAUACCUGUCUCUGUAACAACUGUCUCAUAUGUACUAGGCUAGCAUAUUGGGACAGAUACCUGUCUCUAACAACUGUCUCCUAUGUACUAGGCUAGCAUAUUGGGACAGAUACCUGUCUCUGUAACAACUGUCUCAUAUGUACUAGGCUAGCAUAUUGGGACAGAUACCUGUCUCUAACAACUGUCUCCUAUGUACUAGGCUAGCAUAUUGGGACAGAUACCUGUCUCUGUAACAACUGUCUCCUAUGUACUAGGCUAGCAUAUUGCUCCACACAUACUGGGAUGUGUUCUGAAUGGCCCCCUGUUCCCUAUAUAGUGCACUACUUUUCACCAGACCAGGUUCUACACACCCCAGACCCCUAUGGGUUCUACACACCCCAGACCCCUAUGGGUUCUACACACCCCAGACCCCUAUGGGUUCUACACACCCCAGACCCCUAUGGGUUCUACACACCCCAGACCCCUAUGGGUUCUACACACCCCAGACCCCUAUGGGUUCUACACACCCCAGACCCCUAUGGGUUCUACACACCCCAGACCCCUAUGGGUUCUACACACCCCAGACCCCUAUGGGUUCUGGUCAAAGGUAGUGCACUCUAAAGGGAAUAGGGUGCCAUUUGUGACAAACACACAAUACUCUGCACUCACCUCCCCCAUAUAGUCUACACACCCCACCCUCCCCCUCUCCUACCUUGUCCUUGUGUUAAUACAUACACUCAACUGUACACUUCUGUCUUGACACGAGUUCCGUUCAGAUGAAUAAUAAUAAUAAUAAGCCACAUAGCAGAUGCUUCUAUCCAAAGCCACGGUCAGGUGUUCUGUUGUCUGGUUGUGCCCGGCGGGAGUUGAACCUCUAUCCAAAGCCACGGUCAGGUGUUCUGUUGUCUGGUUGUGCCCGGCGGGAGUUGAACCUCUAGUGCCGUGAUGCUCGUAUCAACUGAGCGUUGUGGAACCAGUUCAUGUUCUGCCUUCUGAAUGACCUGCAUUCCUUUUCUCAAAUCCGGCCCAGUAGUUUACUCAUUCUCACGUUAAACACAUCAGAACUCAUUUGACAUCUUGUAUUAGAAAGUGUAAUUACAUUCUCUAACUCUGUUGUCCAGGAUUGAAAAUACCAUUAUAUUAUCAUUAUUAUUAUUAUUAUUAUUACAUUGUCUUAACACUCUUCUCCUUUGAAUACAAUUUGUAAGUCGCUCUGGAUAAGAGCGUCUGCUAAAUGACUUAAAUGUAAAUGUAAAUACAAUUCCAUAUUCUCUUCUACUCUUUAAUGUUGUGUACCGUCGCCUAAUAUCAUAGGGCACGUCCCAAAUGACACCAUAUUCCCUACUUAGUGCACUACUUUUGACCCAGACCUAUAGAGCUCUCUGGUCAAGAGUAGUGCACUACUUUUGACCCAGACCCUAUAGAGCUCUCUGGUCAAGAGUAGUGCACUACUUUUGACCCAGACCCUAUAGAGCUCUCUGGUCAAGAGUAGUGCACUACUUUUGACCCAGACCUAUAGAGCUCUCUGGUAAAGAGUAGUGCACUACUUUUGACCCAGACCCUAUAGAGCUCUCUGGUCAAGAGUAGUGCACUACUUUUGACCCAGACCCUAUAGGGUUCUCUGGUAGAGAGUAGUGCACUAAGUAGGGCACAGUGUUCCAUUUGGGACGUAACCGUGGACAGCUGUUUAUCUCCUCCAUCACAGUCUCCUCAAUGUAUUUCCAGGUCAUCCUCCUCUCAGCCGUGGACAGGCACAAUGCUGGUGUAUAUAUAUAUAUAUAUAUACUAUAUACAUACUGUUGCACUUUCUAGGAAAAUACAUAAGGCCUAUAGUCUUUUUAAACCAUAUGACUGGGGUUGCACAAUUCUAAAGUCCCUGGUUUUCCACAAAUCCUGGUUGGAAGAUUCCUGUAAAUAUGAGGGAAUGAGCAGGAAAUCCGGGACUCCUUCCACCAGGAUUUGUGUAAAAACUGAGAAUUUGGGGAAAGUUCUGGACCGCAGCAGCCCUAUCUGAUCCUCAGCACUGCGAAGGGAGGUGUUUAAAGACACUAUCUAAUACCACCACAUGAAAAACAAAACUAUAAAACACAAAGUGUAAUAUUUUGCAACUUGAGUAUCAGUACAAUAAAGUUUUACUUAAAAUGACCAACACAA